UCUUAGCAUUGCGUUGAACCUAAAUCAGAGACUACUUAAAUAAUAAUCUGAUGGGUGCAAUUUAUAACAAAACCUGAAGCUUGUCAAAACUGAGAAAAUAAAUCUGUUUUGUGAUUUAUAGAUAAGAGAGACAGACAGACAGACUGUUCUAGGAAGCACAUUGCAAAGGGAACAGAACUGCAGGAAUAGGACAUCUUUAGAAUUUUAUCAGUAACAGCAAAAUUGCAGUAGACUAUAUCUAGUAAAGACUGUCUUAACUGAAGAGAGAGUUCUUGUAAUUAGCUUUGAAUUAUGCAUUAAUACGGUCAGGAUAGAGGUGGUAUGUAACUCCAUUAGUUGCUUGAUGGAGUUAUAUAAAUAUUAGUUUUUAUUAUGAAAGCUAGUGGAAUUUGGUCAGAACACAAGGGAUAAUAAACCCCAUUGAAUUAAAUUGAAUUUAUUCAAUGUAUAUAUUGCCCAUCUCACUACCAAGUCGCUCUGGGCAGCCCUCUUAUUAUAAGAUGGAUCCAAGUAUCCUUCUUUAAGAAAUAUUUCAGCUUUAACAUUGUCAUAUUGUCUUAGGUUAUCAUAAUACUCCCUCCAAAUGCAAAAUGCUUGAAGACAGAGAUGUGACAAAUAGAUUUGAAAUUUUGAAGCUAGAAAAAACUUGAUGUUGGUGUUCUAACUAAGUAACAAAGCAGUUUAGUAAUCAGGAUUUUAAAUUGGUAAGACUUUUGGAGAUUCCACAAUAAGAUAACUACUGAAGUAUCAUGAUUUAUAAGAAUUUAUCUUUAAGAAAUCAAAUAUUACAUUUUAAAAAGCAAGCCAACAUACUUUUACCAUCACAUCAUACCAACUAGGCUGUAUUUCUGAAUUUAUUAGAAACAGCGGUCAGUACAUCCUUCUAAAACAUUACAUUUAAAUGUGCUUUAUUGCAAUCUUUAUUGCAUUUUUAUUUUAAAGCAAAAUAGGCCAGAAUGCUUAGUGUCUGGAAUUCCAAAGCUCAAUCAUCUAUUUAAAAAAAAUAAAAAACAAAGAAACAUCAUAGUACACUUGGUGACACAUAUGAUGUUGCACUACUCAUCUAGAAACUUCAAUAUUAUUAACAUACAACUGUUUUCUCCAUGAAGCAGUUUUUUUUCAAAAGUUAAACAACAUGAAUUGGGCUACAUCAUAAAAUGACAGAACAGGUUUUACAUACCAACACGAAUACCAAAGUUACAUGCUGGAAUUCAUAUUAAAAAGAAUAAAAAUAAAAACAAUAGUUGUGGCUUCGUGAGAAGCAAAUCUUUUGAUAAAGAGUAUCCAUUAAGAGGAAAACCAAAAUGUAUUUCAAGAAUGCAGUGCUUAGGUGUGAGAUGUACAAAGGAAUGCACAUUCCUAGCAUACUCCAUUAAAAUUAAUAACAGUAUAUUCUUCGAGAAAAUGAUACUCUAUUUAUAUCUAGAUAUAUCUGUUUCCAUAUAUUGCAAUUAAUGUUACAGCACUGCUCUCCUUUACACCCUAUUUCUAGAUGUGGCUUUCACUUUAAAAAAUGCAAAUAUUACUUUAUCUCAAAAGAGUUGAGGACUUGUAGAAAGCAUUACAAUUUUGCUUUAUUUGAAGCGAGAGAAGACUCACUUUACUUUUUGUAGCGAGGGCAGUCAAAAUAUAAUCCAGUUUCAGGCUAAAUGGUUCCAGCAAGAGGUGGGCAAUUUGGACUCUGUGGGGUAAUGUCAUGGCUAAUGCGUAUAAAUGUAUAGGUGAACCCAUUUUCCAUGUAUAUAUACACGUAGCACACUUGCUCACAUUCAAAACCACAAACAGAAAAGGUUGCAGAGCAAUAGAUGACAUGGGGCUGAAAAGUGGCAAAACACAAUUAAUAGAUUCAUGUUUCUUUAUAACCAGUCACCCCAAACUCAAAUACUCUAUACAGGUUGCUAAACUGGCACAGACAGCUGGGGUGAAGGGUACGGAGAAUAUUGUCCUUUAAAAAUGCCUGGAAAUAAUUCUGUUUUCCUACCAAUCUGUUACCUGCCUUAAAAAAUGCUGCAAGGUGUUAACUGCAAUCCUUCUACCUUUGUAGGCAGAUUACCAAAUCAUGUGGAAAAUCAAAGUAGACUUUAAAUGACCCAUUGUUUUAUUUUUAGUGUUUCAGUUCUCUUCUGUCGAGCUCAGAGUUGCUUCUGUGCUAUUUGCUGUGGAGCUCUUUAAAUUAUAUUCUAAGUCACCAGGAGCUCUCUGUAUCAAGACAUGUUGCUGAAAACAUAAUAGAAAAAAAAUUGCCUUAAAAACUAUGGUGCCAGCCAAAAUGGCAGUGCUUGAAAUUUUUUUUAAAAGAAAAGUCAGAUAUGAGGGGAAGUAAAAAUCAUUUACGUUAUCAUUAAAAUAAUUCUUCUGCAUAUUUGCUAUAGGUAGAAAUAUUCAAAUCCUUUCCUCUUUUCCAGAAUCUUACUGUAUCUGUCAAUCUAACAGUAUGAUCAUUAAGAAAACAAUUGAUUCUUUGUAUUUCAAUGUAGCUUUUGCAUUUUCAACAAAAACUUUGUAAAACCAACUAAUAUAAGAUCAAGUGCCUGGAUUGUGAUCUAUCCCAUUGAAACAAGAAAUUUAAUCCCCAAAAUUUGAAUAACUUCUAUAUUUCUUUACAUUUUCUCCAACAUGAGGCUUUUAGUAGAAUUUAUCACGUUUCCUUGACAUUAAAUAUCAUCUGUAAAAUACUGUUUUCUCUCAUUCUCACUGAAAUUUAUUUCUGUUGUUUUAGUUUUGUGAGGGUGUUAAUAUUCCAAAGGAAGAUAAGCUUUCCACACACACCCCAGCAUUUCCAUAGCAUUAAUUAACUGCCACUUCUAUUUCAUUGUCCCCCCCCCCCAACUGUGAGAUAAUGAAAGAUUGCUAGACUAGUAAAAACAUAGAAUGGAAAAGAGGCACUAUUCCAGGGUAAUGAAGAAUCUAUCACUGGCAAAAAAAUAUAGCCACUAAAAGUAUGCUGGAAUAGAGUGGUAGCCUAAGUACAACAGCAACAAGGGCUGUAGAGCCCAACUUUUUGAUGACACAGAAUAUUUUUCUUGACUUAAGCAAUGAAGCAGCAAGAGGUGAGCUGCAGGAAGUAUUGUGGCAUACCUAAAGUUUCUAUGAAGGUGGAGAAAAACCUGGGUUUGAAGAGAAGGACUGAUGACUCAGGUAUAAAGAAAAGGCAAAGAUAGCAACACUGAGACUAAUGGUGGCUCCUUAUUCUUAAUGUUGAAUUUAGCAUCUGCCUAAUCAUUCCAGAAAGAACAACACCAUUAUUUUGUUUUUUUAAUCUAGCAUUAUGCCCUAACAUAUUUCCACUGUAGUGUUUGAAAACAAUCCUAUCUUUGAAGUAAGAUCUUCGGUUUUGUUUUUGAACAAGAAUAACUUUUACUAUUAAAGUUACUGACAAUCAAAUCUACAGUUAAUUUUGGCUAAAUUUUAAGCAAAUAGGGAGUUUCAAGAAAUGCAAAGAAUUAUCCUUCCAAUGGCAAUUCUCUUUAAGGAUAAAAAAAGACUGCAUGUAAAUUUACCUCAUAAACUUAUUCAAAUAUCCCAAACCAUAAAUCACUGAUUUAAGAAUUAAAGUGCCCCAAUUAAAAAAAACAACCAAUGGUUGACCAUAUAUUCAAACGCUUGGCUAUUACCACAUAUAACCUUUAACCUAAAAAAAGUUAGCCACAAUACACACUACCACUUUAGCUUUUUAUUCCCCGUUAACUGUAAAUUUAAGAUACACAAAAUUUAAAACAAAAACAAACAAAAACCCCAAUAACCAUACAUUUCAUCAGGAAAAAAAAAUCAAGUACCAAAAAGGGAUUUUCCAAAUUUGAAAAAAGAGCAAAAAAGCAAAAUUGCUACAUGAACAAACACUGAAUUAAGUCCCUGUGUAUCUUGUCAAGACUUUUCAUAGUGAGUGCCAACGUUUAUCCCCCAAGUCCGUAACAUAGCACUAAACAUGUCCCAAUUUCUUUAAACAAACCACUGUAUACCUAUUCCAAGACAGAUUGAAUGACCUGCUCUAUUCCUGAGAUUAUGCAGGUUGAUGUCUUAUAGCAUUGAUGUGGCUUCUUUUAUUUUAAUCCAAGUGCUACAUUAUAUAAAAGAAAUACAAUAUGACUGCAGAAAUUGCAUAUAAAUGAAUUCAGUUUAGAUGGAUUUGAUGGAUGUAGCUGGAAAUUGGAGUACUGUAUCCCAGAAUAAUGUCACUUAGUCCAUGAUCCCAAUGAAUCCUAUGGAUGUGCAAGAAGUUGUAACAGUGGUAGUUUAUAUGACUUUUGAAAAACAAAUAUAUGCAAGAGUACUUUCUGAGGCAGCGUAAGAGGGAAUGGAGACACAAACAGCUCCAGUUUGCUCAUACGAGCCCUUGUAUAUGUUUAAAAUGGGUCUCUAGUUCAUAAACUAUUCAUAUGAUUAAAUGAAUGGUUCAGGGUUCUGCUUAGGGCUAAGAGUGCAAAAGAGAAGUUAUAUCCUAGAUGUUUUGUGAAACCUUCAAUUAAAUGUAUGCAUUAGUUCUUGUUAAGUACUACUGGCAAAUAAAUUAAUUACCAGAAAUACUGGCAUUUCAAUUGUUUUUAACCUGACCCACUGAGCAUCACAGUAAAUUUAGCAAUUGCAUAAAAGCUGAACUUGUGAGGAAACAAAAUACUGCAAAAUUCUCAAUCAAAAUGUGCUAUAUUAGACAACACUAUUUCGUCCACCAUUUAA